rnacentral:rRNA from 1 species
GGAAGGUGCAAGCGUUAAUCGGAAUUACUGGGGCGUAAAGCGCGCGUAGGCGGCUAGAUAAGUCGGGUGGUGAAAGCCCUGGGGCUCAACCUGGGGAACUGCAUUCGAUACUGUCUAGCUAGAGUGUGGUAGAGGGAGGCGGAAUUCCGCAUGUAGCGGUGAAAUGCGUAGAGAUGCGGAGGAACACCAAUGGCGAAGGCAGCCUUCUGGACCAACACUGACGCUGAGGCGCGAAAGCGUGGGGAGCAAACAGGAUUAGAUACCCUGGUAGUCCACGCCGUAAACGAUGUCAACUAGCCGUUGGGAGCAUUUUGGCUCUUGGUGGCGCAGCUAACGCGAUAAGUUGACCGCCUGGGGAGUACGGUCGCAAGAUUA